CACGAAGAAGUUCAUAUGAUGCAGCUUUUAAGUUGAGGGAUAUCGAUCUGGCAGUACAGAUCGAAGCUCGGCAUGAACUAAUCCAUGGUUCAGCGUUGGAGACCCAGUGCCGCGUCCUUAAUAGCAGAUUUAUUAAGUUAAAUAGCAGCAGAGAUACCAGCGGCAUAUAGCCUGGUGCGGUUUAUAUAUGUACGUUUCCAGGUUUUUUUUUUUUUUUUUAACUUUGUAGGUGCGGCGUAUUGUGAGGUACACUCUAUAGUCCGGAAAAUACAGUAUUCAUUUAUGGGGCUUCCUUUUGAAUAGUAGGCUAUAGUGACUUGCUUGGAUUCGUUCAGCUGUAUAGUAGCAUUAUGUCACCUAGUUUUCUCACAGUUAUGUCAAAAGGUACAUUCAGUGGAGGGAUCGGUGGUAGAAAAAAAAAGAAUUAAAAAAAAGACAAGAAAAAGAUUGUUGCUGCCCUGAGAGCAACAUGAGGCACUAGUUUAGAUAUGUCGGAAUUUUGCGUCCUCUUGUGGUUACUUUUAAGAACAGCAGUCAUUUCACAGUUUGUAUUACUCCCUCAAAGACCCGCCUACCAGGUCGUAGCUUAUUGGUCAGCUGUUCUUAUAGAGGCACGGGAUUGGUCCGGAGGCGAUUGUCGUCAGCGAAGUCGGAAAACAAUAAACACACGGUUAAAUGGUAUUUAGUAACUUACAGUCUCCGAAAUGCCAACAUCUCCUGUGAAAACCCGGAUCCCCCUCACCAGCUUCGGUCAUCUCAUCACAGAGGUGAAGAAGCAGCUGUUUGGCAUCGAAGGACCCUCAUCUGUGCAGCUGACCGGUUGGAGGAAAUACUGCAAUAGCUACACGCUGCAGGGCCGCAGAAACAUACAUACCGUCAUCCCAGACAAGCUGGUGCUGAAGCUACUCGAGGUGGGGCUGCCCACUUCACUGUGCCACUGGAUCAGAG